AUUUCCUACGGGGCGCAGCAGUGGGGGAUAUUGCACAAUGGGGGGAACCCUGAUGCAGCGACGCCGCGUGGGUGAAGGAGUGCUUCGGUAUGUAAAGCUCUAUCAGCAGGGAAGAAAAUGACGGUACCUGACUAAGAAGCCCCGGCUAACUACGUGCCAGCAGCCGCGGUAAUACGUAGGGGGCAAGCGUUAUCCGGAUUUACUGGGUGUAAAGGGAGCGUAGACGGCAGAGCAAGUCUGAAGUGAAAGCCCGCGGCCCAACUGCGGGACUGCUUUGGAAACUGCCCGGCUAGAGUGCUGGAGAG
rnacentral:rRNA from 1 species